GAUGAAGAACGUAGCGAAAUGCGAUAAGUAAUGUGAAUUGCAGAAUUCAGUGAAUCAUCGAAUCUUUGAACGCACAUUGCGCCCGCCAGUAUUCUGGCGGGCAUGCCUGUUCGAGCGUCAUUACAACCCUCAGGCCCCCGGGCCUGGCGUUGGGGAUCGGCGGAGCCCCCCGUGGGCACACGCCGUCCCCCAAAUGCAGUGGCGGUCCCGCCGCAGCUUCCAUCGCGUAGUAGCUAACACCUCGCGACUGGAGAGCGGCGCGGCCACGCCGUAAAACACCCAACUUUUUAUAGUUGACCUCGAAUCAGGUAGGACUACCCGCUGAACUUAAGCAUAUCAAUAAGCGGAGGA
rnacentral:misc_RNA from 1 species